rnacentral:RNase_P_RNA from 1 species
UGAGUAAGUCAGACGGUCGCAUAUGAAAAUAUGAGUAAAGUCCGAGCUCCGCAGAGCAGGGUGCUGGGUAACCCCCAGUGGAGGCAACUUUAAGGAUAGUGCAACAGAAAUAUACCGCUAUGAAAAUAGUAAGGGUGGAAAGGUGAGGCAAGAGCUCACCAGCGGUUAAGGCGACUUACCGGCUCUGUAAACCCCAUCUGGAGCAAGACCAAGCAGGGACAUAAAAAGGCGGCUGCUCGUCGCUGUCCCGAUGGUAGGUCGCUUGAGCUCAGUGGCGACAUUGAGCCUAGAUAGAUGACUGUCAAAUACAGAACUCGGCUUACGAUUUACUUGUUAG